rnacentral:rRNA from 1 species
ACAAUUAGCUGUUGGGACACUAGAUGUUUUAGUAGCGAAGCUAACGCGUGAAAUUGUCCGCCUGGGGAGUACGGUCGCAAGAUUAAAACUCAAAGGAAUUGACGGGGACCCGCACAAGCGGUGGAUGAUGUGGAUUAAUUCGAUGCAACGCGAAGAACCUUACCUGGUCUUGACAUGUACGGAAUCUCUUAGAGAUAGGAGAGUGCCUUCGGGAGCCGUAACACAGGUGCUGUAUGGCUGUCGUCAGCUCGUGUCGUGAGAUGUUGGGUUAAGUCCCGCAACGAGCGUAACCCUUGUCAUUAGUUGCCAUCAUUAAGUUGGGCACUCUAAUGAGACUGCCGGUGACAAACCGGAGGAAGGUGGGGAUGACGUCAAGUCCUCAUGGCCCUUAUGACCAGGGCUUCACACGUCAUACAAUGGUCGGUACAGAGGGUAGCGAAGCCGCGAGGUGAAGCCAAUCUCAGAAAGCCGAUCGUAGUCCGGAUUGCACUCUGCAACUCGAGUGCAUGAAGUCGGAAUCGCUAGUAAUCGCAGGUCAGCAUACUGCGGUGAAUACGUUCCCGGGUCU